AUAAAAACGAUGAUGGAGAAGAGUAGCUUUUUCACACCAUUCAGGGAGAAAAUGCCGUAGACUGGAAGCAUUUUUAUGGGAAGAAAAGUGAAGUUCACCUCCGGAGUUGGCAUCGGGACCAUUUCAGAAAGAAAUGUAAAGAUGCACCGGCGCAUGCCGUUAUCCGAAUGAAGUGAACACGCUUUAGUUGACUUUUGGCAAAGCGUGUUAAAAAGGGUGGUACCGCGAAUCCAAUACCUCGUCCCUUUA
rnacentral:ncRNA from 1 species